rnacentral:rRNA from 3 species
UCUGGCGGCAGUAGCGCGGUGGUCCCACCUGACCCCAUGCCGAACUCAGAAGUGAAACGCCGUAGCGCCGAUGGUAGUGUGGGGUCUCCCCAUG